rnacentral:tRNA from 1 species
GCACCCGUAGCUUAGUCUGGCUUAAAGCGCCUCCCUGUCACGGAGGAGAUCGCCGGUUCGAAUCCGGUCGGGUGCG